rnacentral:rRNA from 1 species
UACGGGGGGGGCAAGCGUUGUUCGAAAUUACUGGGCGUAAAGAGCUCGUAGGCGGUCUGUCGCGUCGAUCGUGAAAACUUGGGGCUUAACCCUGAGCUUGCGGUCGAUACGGGCAUGACUGGAGUUCGGCAGGGGAGACUGGAAUUCCUGGUGUAGCGGUGAAAUGCGCAGAUAUCAGGAGGAACACCGGUGGCGAAGGCGGGUCUCUGGGCCGAUAUUGACGCUGAGGAGCGAAAGCGUGGGGAGCGAACAGG